UUCGCUUCUCGGCCUUUUGGCUAAGAUCAAAGUGUAGUAUCUGUUCUUAUCAGCUUAAUAUCUGAUAGGUCCCCCAUUUGGGGACAUCGAUAUUAAACUGAUUUUUGGUACUCGGCGAAGAGUCAGGGGCUUGCUCCGCCUUUGCCACGGGUUGACCUGGUAUUGCAGUACCUCCAGGACCGGCCCACUCCUC
rnacentral:snRNA from 1 species